rfam:Hordeum vulgare subsp. vulgare, WGS project CAJW01000000 data, contig: morex_contig_1572224
CAAAUACUCCCUCCGUCCGAAAAUACUUGUCCUAGAGAUGAACGUAUCUAGACUUAUUUUAGUCAUAGAUACGUCCAUUAUAUCCAUUUCUAGGACAAGUAUUUCCGGACGGAGGGAGUAGCAA